UAAUGGUGGGAACUCCAGGGAGACUGCCGGUGAUAAACCGGAGGAAGGUGGGGACGACGUCAAGUCAUCAUGGCCCUUACGAGUAGGGCUACACACGUGCUACAAUGGCAGAUACAGAGGGCAGCGAAGCUGCGAAGUGGAGCGAAUCCCUUAAAGUCUGUCGUAGUCCGGAUUGGAGUCUGCAACUCGACUCCAUGAAGUCGGAAUCGCUAGUAAUCGUGGAUCAGAAUGCCACGGUGAAUACGUUCCCGGGCCUUGUACACACCGCCCGUCACACCAUGGGAGUGGGCUGCACCAGAAGUAGAUAGCUUAACCUUCGGGAGGGCGUUUACCACGGUGUGGUUCAUGACUGGGGUGAAGUCGUAACAAGGUAGCCCUAGGGGAACCUGGGGCUGGAUCACCUCCUUACU
rnacentral:rRNA from 1 species